UGGUCUAGAACAGGGGUAGGCAACCUUUGGCACUCCAGAUGUUUUGGACUACAUUUCCCUUGAUGUUUUGCCAGCAUUAUGGCUGUAAAUCCAUUAUUGGAGAUGUAGUCCAAAGCAUCUGGAGUGCCAAAGGUUGUCUACCCCUGCUCUAGAAUG